rnacentral:rRNA from 1 species
AGCAGUAGCCGCGGUAAUACGUAGGUGGCAAGCGUUGUCCGGAAUUAUUGGGCGUAAAGGGCUCGCAGGCGGUUUCUUAAGCCUGAUGUGAAAGCCCCCGGCUCAACCGGGGAGGGUCAUUGGAAACUGGGAAACUUGAGUGCAGAAGAGGAGAGUGGAAUUCCACGUGUAGCGGUGAAAUGCGUAGAGAUGUGGAGGAACACCAGUGGCGAAGGCGACUCUCUGGUCUGUAACUGACGCUGAGGAGCGAAAGCGUGGGGAGCGAACAGGAUUAGAGACCCCCGUAUCCCUGUCUCUUAUACA